rnacentral:rRNA from 1 species
UACGUAGGGUGCGAGCGUUGUCCGGAAUUAUUGGGCGUAAAGAGCUCGUAGGCGGUGUGUCACGUCGGCCGUGAAAACCUGCAGCUUAACUGUGGGCUUGCGGUCGAUACGGGCAUCACUGGAGUUCGGCAGGGGAGACUGGAAUUCCUGGUGUAGCGGUGAAAUGCGCAGAUAUCAGGAGGAACACCGGUGGCGAAGGCGGAUCUCUGGGCCAUUACUGACGCUGAGGAGCGAAAGCGUGGGGAGCGAACAGG